GACCGCGUAGCUCAGUUGGAAGAGCAUUGGGCUAGUAUUCCAAAGGUCGUAGGUUCGAAUCCUGCCGUGGCCA
rnacentral:tRNA from 1 species